rnacentral:tRNA from 1 species
GGUGCGUUAGUUCAGCUGGUUAGAAUACAUGCCUGUCACGCAUGGGGUCAGGGGUUCAAGUCCCCUACGCACCG